CACAUUCAACUCAUAUUAAUUGUGUAGGCCUCACUCUUAUCAAAAUCUUCACAAAUUGCGAGACAAAAAAGUUGUCUCGACUAAUGUAGACACAAAAUAAAAUUUUGCCCCAACAACAGUCUAAGGCUAAAACCCUGUAUGAAGUGCAGACACUGAGCUUUGGCAAACUUGAGGGAGCUUGUGCUUUACUGAAGCUGAAAAUGGGUUGGAAAAGUUAUCAGAAACUCAUUCAUCAGUGGAGAAUUCUCAGAGGUGAUAAUGUCAUGAUUAUCAGAGGAAAAGAUAAAGGCGAGACUGGUACCAUUAAGUGUGUCAUACGUUCCCAAAACCGUGUAAUCGUUGAGGGCAAAAACCUGGUUAGCAUUUUUCUUGGCACAUGCUUUAUAUCCUUUAAACGUGUCUUGUGGUAACUUACCCUGGUUGUCAAACAUAUCUUGUCAUAAUUUAGUUCCUUUUCACCUUU